GUGGAUUAGAUACCCUAGUAGUCCUAGCCGUAAACGAUGGAUACUAGGUGUGGCCUGUAUCGACCCGGGCCGUGUCGUAGCUAACGCGUUAAGUAUCCCGCCUGGGGAGUACGCACGCAAGUGUGAAACUCAAAGGAAUUGACGGGGGCCCGCACAAGCGGUGGAGUAUGUGGUUUAAUUCGAUGCAACGCGAAGAACCUUACCAGGGCUUGACAUGUCCAGAAUUUCGGUGAAAGCUGAAAGUGCCUACGGGAGCUGGAACACAGGUGGUGCACGGUUGUCGUCAGCU
rnacentral:rRNA from 1 species